rnacentral:rRNA from 1 species
UACGAAGGGGGCUAGCGUUGUUCGGAAUUACUGGGCGUAAAGGGCGCGUAGGCGGCUUCGCUAGUCGGGCGUGAAAUGCCUGGGCUUAACCCGGGAAUUGCGUUCGAUACUUCGAGGCUAGAGUGUGGGAGAGGUUGGUGGAAUUCCCAGUGUAGAGGUGAAAUGCGUAGAUAUCGGGAGGAACACCUGUGGCGAAAGCGGCUCACUGGACCAUUACUGACGCUGAUGCUCGAAAGCUAGGGGAGCAAACAGG